rnacentral:rRNA from 1 species
CCUACGGGCGGCUGCAGUGGGGAAUAUUGGACAAUGGGCGAAAGCCUGAUCCAGCCAUGCCGCGUGUGUGAAGAAGGCCUUCGGGUUGUAAAGCACUUUCAGUGGGGAAGAAAGCCUUGGGGCUAAUACCCUCGAGGAAGGACAUCACCCACAGAAGAAGCACCGGCUAACUCCGUGCCAGCAGCCGCGGUAAUACGGAGGGUGCGAGCGUUAAUCGGAAUUACUGGGCGUAAAGCGCGCGUAGGCGGUCUGAUAAGCCGGUUGUGAAAGCCCCGGGCUCAACCUGGGAACGGCAUCCGGAACUGUCAGGCUAUAGUGCAGGAGAGGAAGGUAGAAUUCCCGGUGUAGCGGUGAAAUGCGUAGAGAUCGGGAGGAAUACCAGUGGCGAAGGCGGCCUUCUGGACUGACACUGACGCUGAGGUGCGAAAGCGUGGGUAGCAAACAGGAUUAGAUACCCCGGUAGUC